UACGAAGGGGGCUAGCGUUGUUCGGAAUCACUGGGCGUAAAGGGCGCGUAGGCGGCUUUGUAAGUCGGGGGUGAAAGCCUGUGGCUCAACCACAGAAUUGCCUUCGAUACUGUAGAGCUUGAGUCCGGAAGAGGUUAGUGGAACUGCGAGUGUAGAGGUGAAAUUCGUAGAUAUUCGCAAGAACACCAGUGGCGAAGGCGGCUGACUGGUCCGGUUCUGACGCUGAGGCGCGAAAGCGUGGGGAGCAAACAGG
rnacentral:rRNA from 1 species